rnacentral:rRNA from 1 species
UUUUCUUAGUAGCGGCGAGCGAAAAGAAAUCAGUUCAGCACUAAGUCACUUUAUCAUUAUGAUAAAUGUGAGAUGCAGUGUAUGGUAUGUCUUCAAUCUGGUAUGAGAAAUUAACGAUUUAAGUCCUUCUUAAAUGAGGCCAAUUACCCAUAGAGGGUGCCAGGCCCGUAUAACGUUAAUGAUUAUCAGAAGGCAUUUCCAAAGAGUCGUGUUGCUUGAUAGUGCAGCACUAAGUUGGUGGUAAACUCCAUCUAAAACUAAAUAUAACCAUGAGACCGAUAGUAAACAAGUACCGUGAGGGAAAGUUGAAAAGAACUCUGAAUAGAGAGUUAAAUAGUACGUGAAACUGCUUAGAGGUUAAGCCCGAUGAACCUGAAUAUCCAUUAUGGAAAAUUCAUCAUUAAAAUUGUAAUAUAUAUAUAUAUAUAUUAAAAUGAUAGUGUGCAUUUUUUCCAUAUAAGGACAUUGUAAUCUAUUAACAUAAUAAAAUAUUUAUCAAAAAAUCAUAUACAAUUAAAGUUUAUUCAAAUUAUUAUUGCUUGCCUAUUUUAACAUAGAAUAAAUUUGUUAAUGAUUUGAUAAAGUGUUGAUAGAUUUAUCAUAUAUACAAUGCUUUAAUUUAAUAUAAAUUAUAUAAUAGCAUAUUUAUCUUUAGAUAUUUAUGUUUAUUAUAUGCAUUUGUAUGAUUAACAAUGCGAAAGAUUCAGGAUACCUUCGGGACCCGUCUUGAAACACGGACCAAGGAGUCUAACAUAUAUGCAAGUCAUUGGGAUUAUAUAUUAUAAACCUAAUGGCAUAAUUAACUUAACUGUUAAAUAUUAUGGGAUUAGUUUUUAAUACUAUUUAUAGUUUAUUAACACAAUCCCGGGGCGUUUUAUAUAGUUAUGUAUAAUAAUAUUUAUAUUAUU